AGCCAUUAGCACAUCACACGUGGAUCCCUGAUUUCUUCUCUCGUUCGAAUCAAGCCACAUUCCUUCCGUCCGAAUGAACCCAGCGUCCCCGUUUGCGUAUGAUCCUCCGCGUGUCCGAGUAUCUCGUGGCCAACCCAGAUAAACUUCCGGAUUACGCUCCACAUCACAGCCGAGUCCCAAGCUUCAUAUUUCGAUCAGCUCCCCAGCAUCCCGCUCAUUCCUCCCAACAUCUUUCUUCUCAUCUUUAUCUUUCGAUCAACUCCCCUAUUCCAGCUUGCAGCCUUAUCCCACAAACAUGAAUUAAUCCCACGAACCGAAUCCAAGAACAACCCAAGCUUUCUUCCGUUCACAAGAUCAACUCCCAGCAAAUCUAAAUCCCAGCCUUCACGGAAAAAAAGAAAGAGUGGCUCACGGAUUUCCU
rnacentral:lncRNA from 1 species